rnacentral:rRNA from 1 species
UACGGAGGGUGCAAGCGUUGUCCGGAUUUAUUGGGUUUAAAGGGUGCGUAGGCGGAUAAUUAAGUCAGUGGUGAAAUCUUGCGGCUCAACCGUAAAAUUGCCAUUGAAACUGAUUAUCUUGAGUACAGUUGAGGUGGGCGGAAUGUAUCAUGUAGCGGUGAAAUGCUUAGAUAUGAUACAGAACACCUAUUGCGAAAGCAGCUCACUAAACUGCCACUGACGCUGAGGCACGAAAGCGUGGGGAUCAAACAGG